GACGAACGCUGGCGGCGUGCUUAACACAUGCAAGUCGAACGGAAAGGCCCUGCUUGCAGGGUACUCGAGUGGCGAACGGGUGAGUAACACGUGGGUGAUCUGCCCUGCACUUCGGGAUAAGCCUGGGAAACUGGGUCUAAUACCGGAUAGGAGCCAUUUUUAGUGUGAUGGUUGGAAAGUUUUUUCGGUGUAGGAUGAGCUCGCGGCCUAUCAGCUUGUUGGUGGGGUAAUGGCCUACCAAGGCGGCGACGGGUAGCCGGCCUGAGAGGGUGGACGGCCACAUUGGGACUGAGAUACGGCCCAGACUCCUACGGGAGGCAGCAGUGGGGAAUAUUGCACAAUGGGCGCAAGCCUGAUGCAGCGACGCCGCGUGGGGGAUGACGGCCUUCGGGUUGUAAACUCCUUUCGCUAGGGACGAAGCUUUUUGUGACGGGACCUAGAUAAGAAGCACCGGCUAACUACGG
rnacentral:rRNA from 1 species